UAAUUUAAUGGCUUCAUCAUCUUCCUCAACAACAACAAGCACUUCUUCAUCUCGGAUGAUAUGGAAAUAUGACGUGUUUGUCAGCUUCAGAGGUGAAGACACACGUAAUAACUUCACCGAUCAUCUUUUCGGUGCUCUCCAAAGAAAAAAUAUUGUUGCCUUCAGAGAUGAUACAAAGCUCAAGAAAGGCGAAUCCAUAGCACCUGAGCUCCUUCAAGCAAUUGAAGGGUCUCAAAUUUUUAUUGUUGUCUUCUCAAAGAACUAUGCUUCCUCAACAUGGUGCUUGCGAGAACUCGCAAAGAUCCUCGAUUGCGUUCAAGUAUCAGGAAAACGACGUGUUCUGCCUGUUUUCUAUGAUGUUGAUCCGUCUGAAGUGAGAAAACAAAGUGGGAAUUAUGAGAAAGCCUUUGUUGAACAUGAAGAAAGAUUCAAAGAAGAUUCAGAUAUGAUGGUGGAAGUGAAAAGAUGGAGAAGAGAUCUGACAGAAAUUGCCAAUCUUUCUGGUUGGGAUGUACGGGAUAAGCCUCAAUAUGCAGAGAUUGAAAAAAUUGUUAAAGUGAUAAUUAGUAUAUUAUUGGAUCAGGAAAUUUCAAGUCUUCCAAAUGAUCUAGUUGGGAUAGAAUCUCCAGUAGCAGAAUUAGGAAAGCUUUUACUUUGGAGCUCAGUUGAUGCUGUUCAGGUUAUAGGAAUUUAUGGUAUGGGUGGAAUAGGUAAGACAACGCUUGCUACUCUUUUAUAUGAAAGAAUCUCUCAUCGAUUUGAUGCUUCCUUUUUCAUUGCUGAUGUAAACAAGUCUGAUCCAAUUGAUGUACAAAAACAACUUCUACGUCAAGCUCUAAAUGAAGAAAACCUUCAUAUAUCCGAUCCUUUUACAGCAGCUAAUUUGAUACGACGUAGGCUUGGUCAUCUAAGGGUCCUUAUAGUUCUUGAUAAUGUUGAUCAAGUUGAACAAUUAGAGAAAUUAGCUUUGAAUCGUGAAUGGUUGGGUGCGGGGAGUAGAAUCAUCAUUACUUCUAGAGACUUGCAUAUCUUUAGAGAGUAUGGAGUGGACAAUGUUUACACAGUCGAACUCUUGAAUGGUGAUAAUGCUCUUCAAUUAUUUUGUAGAAAAGCUUUCAAAUAUGAUGAUAUUAGGAGAGGUUAUGAAGCUUUGACAUAUGACAUACUAAGUUAUGCUAAUGGCCUUCCACUGGCAAUUAAAGUAUUGGGCUCAUUUUUAUUUGGUCGAGAUGUCUCUGAGUGGAUAAGUGCAUUGGCUAGAUUGAGAGAAAAUCCAAGCAAAGAUAUCAUGGAUGUGCUCCGAAUCAGUUAUGAUGGAUUGGAAGAAAUGGAAAAAGAAAUAUUUCUAGAUAUUGCGUGUUUCUUCAAUGGGCAGCCGUUGGAUUUAGUUAAGAGAUGUCUAGACUGUUGUGGAUUUCAACCUGAUAUUGGAAUACGAGUUCUCAUUGAUAAAUCACUCCUAACCACUUCAGAUUAUUAUGCUAGAUUUCCACAUAUUAAAAUGCAUGAUUUGUUGCAAGAGCUAGGAAGAAAAAUAGUUCGAGAAAAUUCACCCAAGGAACCAAGAAAGUGGAGCCGACUUUGGCUAUAUAAAGAUUUCUGCAAGGUUGCAUUGGAUAAGAAAAUGGAAAAUAAGGUUGAAGCUGUAGCUUUGAAUGGUAAAGAAGAAACUGGAAGAUUGACGGUUGAAGCAUUGUCAAAAAUGAGUCACCUUAGAAUGCUUAUACUCAGUAAUGUGAAAUUUUCAGGCAGCCUCAAUUGUCUUUGUAAUAAAUUACGAUAUGUUGGGUGGAGAGAAUAUCCGUUCAUGUAUUUGCCAUCAAGUUUUCAGCCGGAUGAGCUUGUUGCAUUGAACUUGAAGCAUAGCAGCUUGAAACAAUUAUGGCAAGGCAAGAAGUAUAUGCCUAAUUUGAUAAGGCUGGAUCUUAGCCACUCCAAAAAUCUUAGCAAGAUGCCAGAUGUUGGAGAGGUCCCAAAUCUUCAGUUACUGGAUCUUGAAGGAUGUAUAAAACUUGUGGAGAUAGAUCCAUCCAUUGGUCAUCUAAGAAAGCUUACUGUCUUGAAUUUGAAAAACUGCAAAAAUCUAGUAAGCAUACCCAACAGCAUAGUGGGUCUCACUUCUCUUGAAUAUCUAAAUCUCUCCGGCUGUUCAAAAGUGUUAAAUAACCAGCUAACAAGUCAUGGGGAGCAUUUGAAGAAGCUUGAUAUAAGUGAAACUGUUAUGCACUCCCAAUCAACAUCCUCCAUCUUCAAAAGGUUUUUGUUGCCUUACCCUUUAUUGUAUUCUAGAAUACAUAAAGAUUCAGCUACUUGUUUGUUGCCCUCCUUGCCUAGCUUCUCUUGUUUGAGAUAUCUUGAUCUAAGUUUCUGCGAUCUAGUACAAAUCCCUGAUGCUAUUGGAAGUAUACAUUGUUUAGAAAGACUAUAUUUAGAGGGAAACAAUUUUGUUAGAUUGACUUGUAGCCUGAAGGAGCUUUCCAAACUUGUGUUUUUAAACUUGUCCCAUUGCAAGCACUUGACAUCUUUGCCGGAGCUCCCUCUGGGUACCCCUUCAGGUACAUACAUUCCUGAGCAUUUGAGAAUACGAAAAUUAUACGUUUUCAACUGCCCAAAUUUGGGUGAGAGAGAACGCUGCAGUAGUAUGAUUUUUCCAUGGAUAACAGAAGUCAUUCAGGCGAGGCAAGAAUCAUCUUCUGGCAUUUGUUGGAUUGAUAUUGUUGUUCCUGGAAGUGAAAUACCAAGGUGGUUCAGCAAUCAGACUGUGGGUUGUUCAUUAAGGGUAGACCUGUCACCCAUUAUGCAUGACAAUAAUUGGAUUGGCAUUGCUUGCUGUGUAGUGUUUGUGGCACUUACUGAUCCAAUUACUUUGAGAAAUGAACAGAUACCCUAUUUACAGAUACGUUUUACUUGUAAAGCAGAUCAGAUCAUAAGUGGCUAUUCCCUGUGCAGACUCGAUGAAGGUCUGGUAACAGUAGAAUCAGAUCAUAUGUGGCUAUACUAUUUCCCUAGGGAACAAUCAGUUGAUUUUAUGAGUCGGGCAGCUCGCAAAAAGGGCGAGACGCAUGAUCUUGAAGAUAUCAAGAUGGAAGUUUUGUUCGAUCAUCUUGGAUCAUAUGGAGAAAGAAGUGGCCUAGGUGCGCAGUUGGAGGUGAAGAAUUGUGGGUAUCAUUGGGUAUUUAAGAAGGAUCUUGAACUGUUUCAGAAGAUGCAUACUGGUAAUUUGCCAGCACAAAAGGGUGGAAUUUUAGGAAUUGAUGAUUAGCCAUGGCCAUACACAUUAGGCUGAUUAACAAAAAGCAAUACCAACUGCAUUUGAGCUGCAUUUGGAAUAAGCUAUAUCCAUAAGGAUUGAUGCCAUCUCAGGUUAUCAAACGACCACCAGCAAAUGGAUCAGGUUUUAAAGCCCAAGUUCAACAUGUUUAAAUGAAUCAGAACCCAAGUAUAAGAAGCCAUAAGUAAAGAAUUGUCUCGAUCUAAAAUCUUAAGGUGUCAGGAUUGAGGCAAUUGGACCAACAUUGGGUGACCAACCGUUGGAGCAAGUUAUGGAGCUUGAUUAGCUCAUUGGAAUAGGUUUUAUUUGAAAAGAGUGAUUAUUGUAAUUGGCUGCUGAAACUGUUGGUGAAGAACAAAGGUCGACUGAAGCAUUGAGGUAAGGAAGCUGCAGGAGCCUCUGAUGGCAAGUGACCUUAUUUGCAGUAGAUCAUGCAUGAAGAAAAUGAUGUUUUGAGAUCAUACAUGUUGUUUUGUAGAUUUACAUGUAUAGGAUCGAU